GUAUCCCUAGUUCAAUUUGGUAGAAUACUCCGGUUCAUAUCGGAAGAUGCGGGUUCGAGGCCUGUGGGGUACG
rnacentral:tRNA from 1 species